rnacentral:lncRNA from 1 species
UUCUUUGAUGUCAAAAUACUUUCCCGGAUUGAGAAACAAUGCUGCCCCAUAUAACUUCUGCUCCAUUUGGCAUGCCCAUCUUCGCUCAAUGAUGUCAAUCACUUUCUUAUACAGCCUUUGUUUGUUGUUAAAGGCAUCUUUGAUCUUUUUCUUUGCAUAUUCCAUCGCAGCAAGAAUCUCGGGCAGAGCUGGCCUCUCAUCCGAAUCCACAAUCCUCAAGACUACAAGUAAUGGUUGUGAGGCUCUAAUACAAUCUUCUACGUUGUGCCAAAAAGUAGAAGAAAUAAUUGUAUCAUAC